rnacentral:rRNA from 1 species
UACGUAGGGUGCAAGCGUUAAUCGGAAUUACUGGGCGUAAAGGGCGCGUAGGCGGCCUUCUAAGUCAGACGUGAAAUCCCCCGGCUUAACCUGGGAACUGCGUCUGAUACUGGAGGGCUUGAGCACUGUAGGGGCGGGUGGAAUUCCGGGUGUAGCGGUGGAAUGCGUAGAGAUCCGGAAGAACACCGGUGGCGAAGGCGGCCCGCUGGGCAGGAAGGAAGCGCAAGCUUCCGGCUGACGCUGAGGCGCGACAGCGUGGGGGAGCAAACAGG